rnacentral:rRNA from 1 species
GAUGAACGCUGGCGGCGUGCCUAAUACAUGCAAGUCGAGCGAACAGACGAGGAGCUUGCUCCUCUGACGUUAGCGGCGGACGGGUGAGUAACACGUGGAUAACCUACCUAUAAGACUGGGAUAACCUCGGGAAACCGGAGCUAAUACCGGAUAAUAUAUUGAACCGCAUGGUUCAAUAGUGAAAGACGGUUUUGCUGUCACUUAUAGAUGGAUCCGCGCCGCAUUAGCUAGUUGGUAAGGUAACGGCUUACCAAGGCGACGAUGCGUAGCCGACCUGAGAGGGUGAUCGGCCACACUGGAACUGAGACACGGUCCAGACUCCUACGGGAGGCAGCAGUAGGGAAUCUUCCGCAAUGGGCGAAAGCUUGACGGAGCAACGCCGCGUGAGUGAUGAAGGUCUUCGGAUCGUAAAACUCUGUUAUUAGGGAAGAACAAAUGUGUAAGUAACUAUGCACGUCUUGACGGUACCUAAUCAGAAAGCCACGGCUAACUACGUG